rnacentral:rRNA from 1 species
GACGAACGCUGGCGGCGUGCUUAACACAUGCAAGUCGAACGGAAAGGCCCUGCUUUUGUGGGGUGCUCGAGUGGCGAACGGGUGAGUAACACGUGAGUAACCUGCCCUUGCCUUUGGGAUAACUUCAGGAAACUGGGGCUAAUACCGGAUAGGAGCUCCUGCUGCAUGGUGGGGGUUGGAAAGUUUCGGCGGUUGGGGAUGGACUCGCGGCUUAUCAGCUUGUUGGUGGGGUAGUGGCUUACCAAGGCUUUGACGGGUAGCCGGCCUGAGAGGGUGACCGGCCACAUUGGGACUGAGAUACGGCACAGACUCCUACGGGAGGCAGAAGUGGGGAAUAUUGCACAAUGGGCGGAAGCCUGAUGCAGCAACGCCGCGUGCGGGAUGACGGCCUUCGGGUUGUAAACCGCUUUCGCCUGUGACGAAGCGUGAGUGACGGUAAUGGGUAAAGAAGCACCGGCUAACUACGUG